AAAAAAAGGAGGAAGUUUCCAGGAAAGGUGGAAAAAGACACCUCACUGGUGGACCCCACAAUCCUUGAAUAUAAUGCCAUUUCUUGGAAUUGAAUAAGGGUGGUUAUUUUAUUUUUUUCCAGGAUAUACAUACAUCUAUCCAUAUCAUAAAGAGGGGGCCCACAGGGAAGGGAAAGUAGCUUCAUUUUUCUUUUUCCAUUCAUCAUCACCGGGAACCAAAAAUAGGAAGGAAACCAUUUUUGUUUUCUGUCUUUUUCUUCUUCUUAAAGGCUAUGUAUUGAACCCAUUUUUCUUCUCCAUUUUGGCACACAUACACUUGGAAAACACACGCACAUGAGAUAUACAGUGAAAUAACAAGAUAAAGAAGUGAAAACUGGCAUGAGAAUUGAAAAAAAGAUGAAUUUUGAACUUUCGGUUACUGUUUCGGCAAUGCCUUCGCCAGAAACGUAUCAUAAGCCACCGAAUCUAUCAAAAAAUCACUGAAAAAGGGGGUCAUUGGCUGACAUCUGACGUCUCUGGUUGGAAAAACAUUUUCUCAAUCAUCUUCUCUUCUGUUUCAUCAAAAUAUCAUUAAAUGUUCUAGUUUGUUCUAUUGUUAUUUGGUUUUGAUCUUAUCAAUAAUCG
rnacentral:lncRNA from 1 species